AGGUGAGGGAGAUGCCACCAAGGGUAUGAUAGGGGAUGUGGAGGUGGAGUAGCUGAGGAGAUAAGAUGAAUGUAUAGCACAUUGUCGAGGGACCCCUAAGAGCACGAUUCAAUGUUGUGGAGGAAUAUUAGAUAGAGGAGUCUUUUUUAAGCACAUGCUUAUCUCAACCAUUUGGAGCUCAUCAUUUGGUUGGGUGGAUCUAGCGGAGGGGAUGAUUCGAAGAAGGAUAAAGGAAAAGGCAAAGCACCCAUGAAGGAGAAAGCACCAGCAAAAGGAAAAGGGAAGCAUCCUACUCAAAAUGAAGGAGCAAAUUGGAGUGGUAAAGGAUUCAUAAUAAGCAAAAGAAGACAACUUGAGAAGACUCUAACCUACCCAUGUUUCCCCGUGGAGAGAAAAGUAAAGGAAUGAGUGCCCAAGUCAAAGGAACUAAGCAACAACCAUUUUAAAACCAAAUUGGACCUGACCAUGCCUAAAGGCACGGCUAGGUGAAGCUUCAGAAGGUGGCCGAACCCAAAUGGCAUGGCCAAAGAAGCGAUGAAUACAUGGCCGUGCCAAAUGGCAUGGCUAGAAAGAAGAAAAUAGUACAAGCAAAGGGGAAGUUGUGCCUUGAGGCAUGGCCAGAGAGCUAAUCCUGUGCAAAAUUUGUUUAAGCCAUGCUACUUGGCAUGACCUUGGCCCAAAAUAUAGCCUUGAUCUAUUUUUGAAGAAUUGGUUGUGCCAAAUGGCACAGCCAAGAGCCUAUUUAUGCCAACUUCCAAAGUAGAAAUGAAAGCCAUACUUGGUAUGGCCUUGGCCCAAAAUAUAGCCUUGAUCUAUUUUUUGAAGAAUUGGUUGUGCCAAAUGACACAGCCAAGAGCCUAUCUAUGCCAACUUCCAAAGUAGAAAUGAACCUAGCCAUGCCUUUAGGCACGGUUAUGCAUCCAAAAUGCAAGUUCGAAGGUUUGACCGUGCUACAUAGCACGACCAAGAAGGGAUGAGGAGAGCAAGCUUUGCUCUGGCCAUGCCAAAAGGCACGACCAGGUGCCUAGAGCUAGAGCCAAGUUGGCUCUAGCUGUGCCAAAUGGCACGACCUGAUAGCCAGGCGCGACUAGGCUAUGUCUAGAGGCGUGAGCAAGCUAUGCCUAGAGGCAUGACCAUCCCGUGCCUCACCUCUAUUUAAAGGGCACCUUAUCUCAUUUACAAAAGGGGGGAGGAAGAUCCAAGGUGAGAAGGGACCAUCUAGGUCAAAUCCUUGCACUCAGAGGCGUCAUCUAGGCAAUCUAAGGCCGUCCUGCUACUCAAUCCUCAUUGACACUCUAAGAUCUUCAUCCGAGGGCUUCACUCAACAUCAAAGAUAAGUUUUUCUUCCCUUUCUUUAGAAUUCUUGAAAUUCUUAUGUAUUUGAGUUCUUGGAUUGUAGAUCUUCCAAUUAUGGAGUAGAUUUUUGUUGUUCUAGGAUGUAGGAAGUAAUUGUAAUAUAUGAAUGUUGUAAAUUCUAGUGAAUUACCAAUUUCUUUAUUUGAUGAUGCUUGUAUGACACUUGUUCUGUUUGAUAAAA